rnacentral:rRNA from 1 species
GACUAAACUGUCUCUUACGGAUAUUCAAUGAAAUUGAUCUUUCAGUCCAAAAGCUGAGAUGCCUACACCAGACGAGAAGACCCUGUGGAGCUUCCUAAACCAAUAUCAACCCCUAUGGUUAUGCGGUUUUUAGUUGGGGCGACUUCGGAGAACAAAAAAACCUCCAACUUGGAAAUUUUCCUAAUUAAGAUCUACACAUCUAAAUAUACAACUUGACCCAGUAGGCAUUAUCCCUAUCUGACCAAGGAACCAAGUUACCCCAGGGAUAACAGCGCUAUCCUCUUUUAGAGUCCCUAUCGACAAGAGGGCUUACGACCUCGAUGU